UUGUGUUUUCGGGGUUGGAGACCCGUGUUUGGGGCUUGAUUAAGCGUUGCUCACCCAGCGAGGGUUGUUUUUCAACAGCCCCUUAGUCAGCGGACAGCGGGUCGGGGCCGUUUUGCACCGCCCGUGGGGUGUCUCUCCAAGCAGAGGACAGGAAUCGCUAAGGGUUCCUCGUGCAGCAGCGUGUGCGUGGGACCUGCGGGAAAAGGCGUUCCUCUAGGACAGAGUGGAAGAUAUGUGCAGGGAAUAUCAUCUUCGGAUUCAUAUCUGGGUUUUGAAGUGUGUUUUUCCCUGCAGGGUAAGUGACGAGGGAGCCUGCUGACGCACUACGGUCUCCCUACAGAGUGAUUGGCACCGACUAUAGAUUCCUACCCUUGGGAGGAUGCCAUGGAAACAAAAAGGAGCCUCGCUUCACUCUCGGGUUAAUCCUCAGAGCACGCCUCUUCCCGGCCUGACCCAAGCACCCUUUAAAACGUCUGGAUGGAUCACUUUGAGCCAUCCCGGCCUCAAAAAAUAUCUAGGCAUGAGAGGAGAGAGGAUUUACGCUACCAGAGGAUAAACUGCUGGUCAACUGUACACUAAAGAAAUUAAGAUAAUAUCCGGAUGGAUGAACACACUGAUGGACUACAAUAGAGAACCAAGAUAUAGCCCCACCUUUAUGGACAGUAGUCAAUAACAAAUGCGUCAUAAAAAGAAAAUGUAAAUAAUAAUAAAAGUUGGCACAACAGAGUACGGGAAAGGACCUACUUUGCAUUGGAUCACGGUGUUUGUAUGGUAAAAUACGAAAUCGGAUUCCUUCCUAAUGUACACCAAGCACAGCAGUAAAUCCCACGUGAAUUGUUGACCUAAAGCUUUGGGGGACAGCAUGAGGGAAUACCUGCCUCUCUUAGUUCCAACGAAGCCUUAAUUAAAGACACAAGAGUGUUAUGCUUCACAAGAUGACUGUGCUAUCCUCUAUGUUCUUGUCAAAAGAUGCCAAUAAGAAAGAGAACAUGUCUGGAUGUUUUGCUCAGUGGUAAAGUGUGAAAGGCACUCGAUGACCUGACAGAGAAAAAAGGCUCGAGUGAUGGAGCUUCGGAUUCCUGGAGAGUAUCUGGGGAACUCAGAGACCUCUCUCUGUCUGCUGUGGUGUCAGAAGUUUUGCACUCAGGAGGAGAUGGAACUAUGUACAGUCAGGCCUUCUUGGCUUCCAUCCGAAGUGACUGCUCUUUCAGCUCAGAGCUUUGCUGGCCAGGAGAUUUCAAAUCUGCUUUUCCAGGGGUCCCCCUCCCACUUUUUUGUUUGUUUAUUCAUUGGUACUAAGACUGUCAGAUAAGAUAUUUUGCCUCACAAACUAGUACACACACAUACACACCACUGAAAUACAAGUUUAAGAAAUAUGAUCCGAGUUAGGCGGUGGUGGCACACGCCUUUAAUCCCAGUGCUUGGGAGGCAAAGGUGGACGGCUCUGUGAGUUUGAGGCCAACCUGGUCUACAUAAGGAAACCCUGUGUUGAAAAACAAAAAAAGAAGAAAGAAGAAAGAUAAUCUGGGCUGGAAAGAUGGCCCACUGGUUAAGAGCAGAGGAUCUGUGUUCCAUUCCCAGCGCCCACAUCAACACCCUCUUCUGACCACCUAUGUACACAAGCAUGCACGAGGGGCACAGACAUAUAUACCUGCAGGCACAAUAUUCAUGCAUGAAAUAAAAUGAGUACAUCUAAAGCGGGGGAGAUGGUCCAGGUGUGAUGGCGCAUGCCUUCAAUUCCAGCCCUCUGUGGGAGGGGGGAUCGUGGAGGCCGACUAUAUUGUAGUGAAUUCAAGGCUAGCCUGGGGCCACCUGUCUCCGGAAAAAAGCCACAGAAAAGAUACUUAUCCUUAACAUGUAAGAAUACAUUCUGA